GUCGUCCAGCGUGGUGCCAGGGGUGGUCGUCGUCCGGGAGGAGCUCGCCGCAGCGUGCCCGGCCGUCCCGGAGGUGCCGGCGAGACCUUCACCAGCCCGUGGGACCGUGUCCGCCUCCGGGCCCAGACCAGCGGUGCAGCAGGUGGAGGCGACAGCCCAGGAGUCGGCCAGCGAGGUGCCGGGAGUGGUCGCCGGUCAGGAGGAGGUCGACGCAGCGGGCCCUGCUGUCCCAGAGGAGC